AAUGAAAAUUUUUAAUGGCCGCAGUAAUUUGACUGUGCAAAGGUAGCAUAAUCAUUAGUCUUUUAAUUGAAGGCUUGUAUGAAUGGUUGGACGAAGUAUAAUCUGUUUCAUUUAAAUUUAUAAUAGAAUUUUAUAUUUUAGUAAAAAAGCUAAAAUUUUUUUAAAAGACGAGAAGACCCUAUAAAUCUUUAUAAUUUAUUUUAUUUUAAUUUUAUUGAUUAUUUUUUUUUUAAUAAUUUAAUUUAUUUUGUUGGGGUGAUAUUAAAAUUUAAUUAACUUUUAAUUUAAUUUACAUUAAUUUAUGAAUUAUUGAUCCAUUUAUAAUGAUUAUAAGAAUAAGUUACUUUAGGGAUAACAGCGUAAUUUUUUUGGAGAGUUCUUAUUGAUAAAAAAGUUUGCGACCUCGAUGUUGGAUUAAGAUAUAAUUUAGGUGUAGUUGCUUAAA
rnacentral:rRNA from 1 species